rnacentral:lncRNA from 1 species
ACAUUCUUGCGGGACCAUAUUGUUAUAUUCCUGUAUUCUGUCCACAGUAGCUAAUCUUCUAUGCGACGCCAGCCAUAGAGUAAAUUUAUACCUAGGGUGGAGUUGCGCCUGCAGUAUGAUGGCUCUCCAUUGGACUUUGCGAUAUUGAGGGAGUUGGUGAUUAUAUAACUUCUUUAUACUAAACUCAUUCCCAUUUUGAAGUUGCAGGAGUCGACUAUCCAAGUUCCCCUGAAGGGUUGUGAUGCCAAGUAUUAGUUCUCUCGAUUCAAAGAUUUUCCUGAUUGCCC